AUUGAACGCUGGCGGAAUGCUUUACACAUGCAAGUCGAACGGCAGCACGGACUUCGGUCUGGUGGCGAGUGGCGAACGGGUGAGUAAUGUAUCGGAACGUGCCCAGUCGUGGGGGAUAACGUAGUGAAAAUUACGCUAAUACCGCAUACGAUCUAUGGAUGAAAGCGGGGGACCGCAAGACCUCGCGCGAUUGGAGCGGCCGAUAGCAGAUUAGGUAGUUGGUGGGGUAAAGGCCCCCCAAGCCAACGAUCUGUAGCUGGUCUGAGAGGACGACCAGCCACACUGGAACUGAGACACGGUCCAGACUCCUACGGGAGGCAGCAGUGGGGAAUUUUGGACAAUGGGCGAAAGCCUGAUCCAGCCAUUCCGCGUGCAGGAUGAAGGCCCUCGGGUUGUAAACUGCUUUUGUACAGAACGAAAAGGUUUCUACUAAUACUAGGAGCUCAUGACGGUACUGUAAGAAUAAGCACCGGCUAACUACGUGCCAGCCGCCGCCGUAA
rnacentral:rRNA from 1 species